rnacentral:lncRNA from 1 species
CAGUUCUGAAGGCCGAGACGUCCAAGAUCAAGAUGAAACUGUCAGUAUCUGGUCCAGAGCUUUUCACCUUGUCCUUAUAUGGCAUAAGUCAGGAGAGGAAGAAGACAUAUGUCUCUGCUCUGUAUGGCUCUUGUAACUGUGUUCACUAGUUAUGAGGGGAAGAAAGCUUUGUCUGUCUGCUUCAGGGAAGAAAACUGUAAGAGAGAGGCCACCUACUUAGACAAAUUUACUUCUAAAAAUGAAAGCUGCUAUUUAUCUUAGAGUUUUAAUUUUAAAAUUUACCUUCAAAUUAAGUGGAUUUUUUUUUCACUGUAAUAUUUUGAAGAAACAACAUUGACAGAUCAGCCACAGUAUAUCCAUACAUGCAGACUAAGGCAGGUCAUAACUGAGAGUGGUUUUAGCCACAGAAACUUGGCAUCUGGGUGAAAUCCUACAUAUACAUUCCAACCUAAGCUUUUGAGUCUGCGGAGUUGACUGUUGGAAAAGCAAAUGUGUGUACACUGAAUGAGAGCUUUGUCUCCCUAGCCAGAUGGGAAGCAACGAGAAGACGCAAACCCUUGGCUUUAUUCACUCAGGCUGAAGCUCUACCCACAAAGUUUCCUCUCCAGUCUCCUCAGUCCCACCCCAGCGCACCGGGAAGAGAGGGUUCUGCCAUUUUCUACGCUUGUGCUGGGGCUCACACUGAAAUCACUGAUGGAAAUAGUGAAGAGUUCCCUGCUGUGUAGAACAUCAAUUCCAUCAGCUGUAUAGCAGCUACAGCCCUGAGUCCAGUAAAAGCCGUGUCACAGUCAAACGAUCCUUUAUGCGUCUCAGAAUCGGUCAAACACAUCGAAGAAUCACAGCAAAAACUAAACGUGUCAUGUUCUGAAGAAACAUCUCUGUUGAUUAUACAUGUUGGAUUCACGUACCAAGUCUGAAGAAACACAAAAAGUUAUGUGAACUCUCUUAAAUGGCUAGGCAGAAUUUAAAGCAUCACUGGACUGCAGCAGAGUCUUUCAAGCCAUUUGGGCUUAUAAGGUCCUUUAAGAACUUUUAAAAGCCACAAUAGAAGGAAACACAUCUGCAGAAAAUGAACUAUUUUUAAAAUACACUUUCAUGGGGUUCAAGGAACCACCUGAAAGACACUGAUAAACUCUGCAAAGUACAGACAUACUGAUGGAAAAGAAAGGCUUCUGAUAUCCAUAAUCUUUGAUGUCUGAGACAAAGAAGUUUUAUGUCUUUCAAAUGGCAGAUUCCCAGAUACAUUUCAGAUGGGAGCAAAUGCCGACUUAAACAGUUAGUUGUAUGUUGUUUUGUAAUGUGCAAACUCAGUCAUAAACCAUGAUAGCAUUUUAGCAUCUUUGGGUACAAUUUGUGUGUGUGUGUGUGUGUGUGUGUG